CCUACGGGCGGCUGCAGUCGGGAAUUUUGCACAAUGGGCGAAAGCCUGAUGCAGCAACGCCGCGUGAGGGAUGAAGGCCUUCGGGUUGUAAACCUCUUUUCUCAGGGACGAUGAUGACGGUACCUGAGGAAUAAGCCACGGCUAACUACGUGCCAGCAGCCGCGGUAAUACGUAGGUGGCAAGCGUUGUCCGGAUUUACUGGGCGUAAAGAGCGCGCAGGCGGUCGUGCAAGUCGAAUGUGAAAGCCCCCGGCUCAACUGGGGAGGGUCAUUCGAUACUGCUCGACUUGAAGGCAGGAGAGGGAAGCGGAAUUCCCGGUGUAGUGGUGAAAUGCGUAGAUAUCGGGAGGAACACCAGUGGCGAAGGCGGCUUUCUGGCCUGUUCUUGACGCUGAGGCGCGAAAGCCAGGGGAGCAAACGGGAUUAGAUACCCUGGUAGUC
rnacentral:rRNA from 1 species